rnacentral:rRNA from 1 species
AGGACGAACGCUGGCGGCGUGCUUAACACAUGCAAGUCGAACGGUGACGAAUGGAGCUUGCUCUGUUCUGAUCAGUGGCGAACGGGUGAGUAACACGUGAGUAACCUGCCCCUGACUCUGGAAUAACUUCGGGAAACCGAAGCUAAUACCGGAUAUGACACAGAGCCGCAUGGUUUCUGUGUGGAAAGUUUUUCGGUUGGGGAUGGACUCGCGGCCUAUCAGCUUGUUGGUGAGGUAAUGGCUCACCAAGGCGACGACGGGUAGCCGGCCUGAGAGGGCGACCGGCCACACUGGGACUGAGACACGGCCCAGACUCCUACGGGAGGCAGCAGUGGGGAAUAUUGCACAAUGGGCGAAAGCCUGAUGCAGCGACGCCGCGUGAGGGAUGACGGCCUUCGGGUUGUAAACCUCUUUCAGCAGGGACGAAUGUAGACGGUACCUGUAGAAGAAGCACCGGCCAACUACGUG